CCCUUAGACGUUCUGGGCCGCACGCGCGCUACACUGACGCAGGCAACGAGCUUUCCUUUACCGAAAGGUACGGGUAAUCUUUUGAAACUUCGUCGUGCUGGGGAUAGAUCCUUGCAAUUUUUGAUCUUAAACGAGGAAUGCCUAGUAAGCGCAAGUCAUCAACUUGCGUUGAUUACGUCCCUGCCCUUUGUACACACCGCCCGUCGCUACUACCGAUUGAAUGGUUUAGUGAGGCCUUCGGAUCCGCGACUCGUUUUGUGGAGAAGUUGGACAAACUCAGUCAUUUAGAGGAAGUAAAAGUCGUAACA
rnacentral:rRNA from 1 species